rnacentral:tRNA from 1 species
GCUCCCUUCGUCUAGUGGUUAGGACGUCGCCCUCUCACGGCGGUAACACCAGUUCGAAUCUGGUAGGGAGCG